rnacentral:rRNA from 1 species
AGAGUUUGAUCAUGGCUCAGAACGAACGCUGGCGGCGUGCCUAACACAUGCAAGUCGAACGCGAAAGGGGGCAACCCCCGGUAGCGUGGCAGACGGGUGAGUAACACGUGGGUAACCUACCCGGAGGUGGGGGAUAACCCUUCGAAAGGAGGGCUAAUACCGCAUAAUACCGUGGGGACCUCGGUCCUUGCGAUCAAAGCUGGCCUCUGUUUACAAGCUAGCGCCACCGGAUGGGCCCGCGCCCCAUUAGCUAGUUGGUGAGGUAACGGCUCACCAAGGCGACGAUGGGUAGCCGGCCUGAGAGGGCGAUCGGCCACACUGGAACUGCGACACGGUCCAGACUCCUACGGGAGGCAGCAGUGAGGAAUCUUGCGCAAUGGGCGAAAGCCUGACGCAGCGACGCCGCGUGGAGGAUGAAGGUCUUCGGAUUGUAAACUCCUGUCGAGUGGGACGAAUGCCGUGAGGGUGAAUACCCCUUGCGGUUGACGGUACCGCUGGAGGAAGCCCCGGCUAACUCCGUGCCAGCAGCCGCGGUAAUACGGAGGGGGCUAGCGUUGUUCGGAAUCAUUGGGCGUAAAGGGCGCGUAGGCGGCAGAUCAAGUCGGAGGUGAAAUCCCUCGGCUCAACUGAGGAAUUGCCUUCGAUACUGUUCGGCUUGAGUCCUGGAGAGGGUAGCGGAAUUCCCGGUGUAGCGGUGAAAUGCGUAGAGACCGGGAAGAACACCAGUGGCGAAGGCGGCUACCUGGACAGGUACUGACGCUGAAGCGCGAAAGCUAGGGGAGCAAACAGGAUUAGAUACCCUGGUAGUCCUAGCUGUAAACGAUGGGCACUUGGUGUUGCGGGUAUCGACCCCUGCAGUGCCGAAGCUAACGCAUUAAGUGCCCCGCCUGGGGAGUACGGUCGCAAGGCUGAAACUCAAAGGAAUUGACGG